GAUGAACGCUAGCUACAGGCUUAACACAUGCAAGUCGAGGGACCGGCGCCCGGGUGAGUAACACGUAUCCAACCUGCCCUUUACUCGGGGAUAGCCUUUCGAAAGAAAGAUUAAUACCCGAUAUAACGGAUGGGGAUGCGUUCCAUUAGGUUGUUGGUGUGGUAACGGCUCACCAAGCCUUCGAUGGAUAGGGGUUCUGAGAGGAAGGGCCCCCACAUUGGAACUGGGGCACGGUCCAAACUCGUACGGGAGGCAGCAGUGAGGAAGAUUGGUCAAUGGGCUCUAGCCUGAACCAGCCAAGUAGCGUGAAGGAUGAAGGCUUAUGGGUCGUAAACUUCUAUUAUAUAAGAAUAUGUAUUAAAUGAAUAAGGAUCGGCUAACUCCGUGCCAGCAGCCGCGGUAAUUC
rnacentral:rRNA from 1 species